UCGCAAAUAGCUCAGUGGUUAGAGCGUCUGUCUUGUAACCCGAAGGUCCCCGGUUCGAUUCCAGGUAUCCGGU
rnacentral:tRNA from 1 species